UACGUAGGGGCCGAGCGUUGUCCGGAGUUAUUGGGCGUAAAGCGCGCAGGCGGCCUCGCGCGCCCGACGUGAAAGCCCCCGGCUUAACCGGGGAGGGUCGUUGGGGACGGCGGGGCUUGAGGGCGGGAGAGGGUGGUGGAAUUCCCGGUGUAGUGGUGAAAUGCGUAGAGAUCGGGAGGAACACCCGUGGCGAAGGCGGCCACCUGGGCCGACCCUGACGCUGAGGCGCGAAGGCGUGGGGAGCGAACGGG
rnacentral:rRNA from 1 species